AGUCAGAGUGGUUACCACACCGACGUUGUGGCAGCUGCAUAAUAAAUGACUGAGAGAAUCAUGUUAGGCAUGCCCACCUAACCUAACUUGAAUCAUGCGAAAGGGGAGCUGUUGGAAUUCAAAUAGACUUUCUGGUUCCCAGCAGUCGGCAGUAAUAGAAUGCUUUCAGGAAGAUGACAGAAUCAGGAGAAAGAUGCUGUUUUGCGCUAUCUUGAUUUGUUACAGCAGCCAACUUAUUGGCAUGAUGGAGUGACAGGAAAAACAGCUGGCAUGGAAGGUAGGAUUAUUAAAGCUAUUGCAUCAUUAUGAAUACAAUUAGAAGCUGACCAUGACAAAGCAUAUGUUUGAGAAAGCAGCUGUUGGCAGCUGGGGUUUGUUGCCGAGCUCUUCAAACUCUGCAAACAGUGUUGCUUUUACAGAAUGGAUUUUAAAAUUACCUUGUGCUGCGUUAUAUUUGGGGUGAGGAGGGGGUGAGGAGGGGCUUCCAACCUCAGUGAAACAGUUCUGGGAUAGAAUUCAGUGUUAGAAGAUUUUAGAAUAAAGUAUUUUUCAGGGGUCUAGCAUUCUCCAGGUAAAUGAUGACAUGAGAGGUGGAAAUCUAUCCCAGCUUAGUCAGAUGUAAUUUGCUUGCAAGGACUGAUUGAUAUAUUGGCAUAUUCAGACACUGGGAGAAAUGAAAAUGUACAGAGUGUUUGCAUAGGUUAGAAUUGCUAUACUUGGUUUCUAUAUUAUAAGGAGUUUGGCUGUCAGUCAUUUCUACUCAUCAAUUUCUAGCUUUUGACAUUAAUUCAGUCAUUCUGCAUUAUAUGAAGAAAAUAUAUCAAUAUCUCCUGCAGGCUUUUCCAACAACUCCAGCAUCUGUUUCAGCUAUUGAACUGUAUUCACGUUUUGCCAAGUUGAUGUCGACCCAGCUGGUCUAUCAUUUCUCGCUUGAUUACUGCUCUUAAUUUCUCUGUAUCAGCUUCUUUCAGAUAGAGCUUUGAAAUCUGUUAAUGGAAAAUGACAGAAAAUGAUAAAUUAUUGAAAACUAGAGCACUUAUUUAUUUAUUUGGGAUCUUAAUGAGUUUUGCCUAACAUUAUUCCCUGCCUGUGUACAAUUACCAAAGCCCUCUUUCUGUUUGGCAAUAUUGCUUUCAAUCAGUAGAUUACAAAGUAGUUUUAAACAAACAUAACACUGGCCUGGAUUGGAUUUUGCUCCAAAAAUAAAGUUUUGAGGAAAAGGAGAACAAUUUAGGCUUUUAAUAAAAACUAUGCCUUGUUUCAAUAUACUAUCUUUAUAUACUAUCAUACAGAUCUAUCAAUGGGUGUAUAUUGGACUGAAUAUACUGAAA
rnacentral:lncRNA from 1 species